ACUCGAGUGGCGAACGGGUGAGUAACACGUGGGUGAUCUGCCUUGCACUUCGGGAUAAGCUUGGGAAACUGGGUCUAAUACCGGAUAGGACAGCUGUUUAGUGUCAGUUGUGGAAAGUUUUUCGGUGUAGGAUGAGCUCGCGGCCUAUCAGCUUGUUGGUGGGGUAAUGGCCUACCAAGGCGGCGACGGGUAGCCGGCCUGAGAGGGUGGACGGCCACAUUGGGACUGAGAUACGGCCCAG
rnacentral:rRNA from 1 species